rnacentral:rRNA from 1 species
GUGUCAGCAGCCGCGGUAAUACAGAGGGUGCGAGCGUUAAUCGGAAUUACUGGGCGUAAAGCGCGCGUAGGCGGCUUUGCAAGUCGGGUGUGAAAUCCCCAGGCUUAACCUGGGAACUGCAUUCGAGACUGCAUUGCUAGAGUAUGGGAGAGGGAAGUGGAAUUUCCGGUGUAGCGGUGAAAUGCGUAGAUAUCGGAAGGAACAUCAGUGGCGAAAGCGACUUCCUGGACCAAUACUGACGCUCAUGUGCGAAAGCGUGGGGAGCAAACAGGAUUAGAUACCCUGGUAGUCCACGCCAUAAACGAUGAGAACUGGAUGUCGGGAGGGUCUGCCUCUCGGUGUCGUAGCUAACGCGUUAAGUUCUCCGCCUGGGGAGUACGGCCGCAAGGUUGAA